GCCAGUGUGGCAUAAUGGUUUGACUGCUGGACUAUCACUCUGGAGACUUGGGUUUGAGUCCCAGCUCAGCUA